GAGGAUGUGGUUCAGCGGUAGAGUGCUCACCUAGUACGUGUGAGGUCCUGGGUUUGAUCCUCAGCACCACA
rnacentral:tRNA from 1 species